rnacentral:lncRNA from 1 species
GGCCACGGUGGUUACUUUACGUGAAGCUCUUAUCUGAGGCAAUAUCUCCAUCAAAACCGCCGUAAUUAAAGCUGAAAGGGUUUGGAGCUCUCCUCCCCCUGAGGUAGAACUUGAGCACAAAGAAUAAAAAAAAAAAGAAAGAGAAAAAAGAAGUAAUUAAGGGAUCUGGUCAGGCUAAGUGAAAGCUGGUUACUUUGUCUUUUUAAUUCGAGAAUGAGCAAUUCAGUAAAGGAGCCAGCAGUUUCCUUUAAAGAUUUUCUCAUAAUUUCACUCUUUCAUGUUUCUGUGCCCUCCUGCGAGCUGGGCAGGAUGCCGGACGGUCCCUGUGGGCUGUCACUGUCACAGCUCCCCUUGGAGAUAAUUCCCCUCCUGUGACUUGGGGACAGUAACAGGGAAAGAGCUUUUAGAGACUCUGCGGAAGGCGAAAAGCCAGCACUCAAGCUCCCAGAUAGAAACCUGAAUUUUGCAGCAUUUAAUGCAUCCAGGCACCACCAAAAUCCUGUGGUGGGCUCUCCCUGUGGAUGGGUUUGGGGCAGGGAGAGGUGGCCGUGGGUGUGGGACAUUGAGCCGUGCCCCCUCGGGGUGGCUCCCAGCCCCUUGCUGCUCCUGAUCCCCCUGUCUCCCACCAGCACCAUCUGGUACGAGCUGCACGCGCGGGAGUGGCCCUUCAAGACGCAGCCGGCGGAGGCGAUCAUAUGGCAGGUGGGACGGGGGAUGAAGCCCAACCUCAGCCAGAUCGGGAUGGGCAAGGAGAUCUCGGACAUCCUGCUCUUCUGCUGGGCCUACGAGCAGGAGGAGCGCCCCACCUUCACCAAGCUCAUGGACAUGCUGGAGAAACUGCCAAAGCGCAACCGCCGCCUCUCCCACCCGGGGCACUUCUGGAAGUCGGCAGAGCUGUGACCGGAGGAGCUGAGGGACGGUGCCUUCCUCCCCCUGCGCUUCUCCUCGUCCUCACCGCUCAUCCUCCAGGCGCCGUGGCAGAGCAGCAGGCGCUGCAGGAUGGGAGCGCUGCCUGCUCCUUGCAGCCUUCCUCCCCGAUGGAGAGGGGCCGGUGGCCGGGGACCUGUGGGGACACCGCCACGGCAGGGGGGUGACAGUGGCCGCGUGCACGGCGGCUGCGUGGCCAGCACCCUGCCGAGCAGGGCUGGGCGGCUGCAAUUUAACACCAGGGCUUCUCUGAUCCCAAUCAGCAUGGUCAGUGCUCACGUCGCUCCUUUGGGGCCGGCUCGCUUUUUGGUUCUUAGGGCUUUUAUUUAAUUUUCUUUUUCAUGAAAAAAAAAUAAUAAUAAUAAUCGGGGGGAGGAGAGGGGGAUAAGGGGGGAAGCGCUGCUGAUUCACGAGUUCCGUGCCGCUGCUAUUAGCUGCCCCCCGCCGGGAAAUGCAUCCGCAGCGUCCCCGCUCCUCGGCACCCCGUGGCGGGCAGCGGUGACCUUUCACAAGUGGCUUCUCCGCUCCCGGCCGUGCCCACUUAGGCUCCCCCCGGCUCUCCCUCUCAGCAGGGCACAGCUCCGCGGCCCCGCUAAAUUAGCCCUUGGCCCCAGCGCGGAGCUAAUCAGCCGACCUCUCCGCCUCGCCUCUCCCCUUUGCUUCGGGCUCUCUCCAGAAAUAGCUGCGCCGUGCCAAGGGCUGUUAUUCGGAUGCUCGAGGGCUGGACAAGCUUGUGGGUUCUUUUUUUGGGCUUGUCUAUAGAGCAGCGGGAGCAGGCUCUGGUUGUACAGAGCUCGCAUCCCCUUCCCGGCCCCAUAGCUGUCCCAGCACCCCGGACACCCACCAUCCAUCAGCUAAAACCCCAAGCUCGCUGCUCUUGGGCAGCAUCUUGGGGCCGGUGCCCCGUCUCGUGCCGGUGUUUCCCUCUCCCUGCCGGCUCGGCUGGGUCCCCGAGCCCAUUAGAUGAGCUGUCAAGUGACAGCAGAGAGCAAAUUGCGUUCUCAGGCUCUAACCGAGCGUAAUUGCUUGACAGGAGCUGCCCUGAAUAAUUCAGUCGUGGUGUGAGUUGGUUUUAAUUCGGAGCUGUUACACAGCUCUGCAAACUAACCGGCCCUGUGGUGUUUGCUGCUCCUCCGACCGGCUCUUGCUGGUGUUUGCUGCUGCUGUGGCUGAAAUCGAUGAGGAUCAGAAGCCUCUGCUGAGCGCUGGAGGUGGGGAGAGCCGUGGGAACAGAGAGGUCCCGGAGGCUCCUUCCUUAAGCAGGUCCUGGGAAAAGGCUGUUCUGGACGGGGCUCAGGCUGGUGCUUUUGGGGCACGUCCUGUGCCGUGCUGUCACGUCCCUGCUGCUUUGCACAAAGCGAGGAGGAGGCAGCGGGACCAGGUCUGUGUUUGGCCAUGCACGGGGUGAGCCUAGGUGAGCGUAGGGUGCACGCCAGGCUGUGCCAAUCCCCCCUGCACCAGGCAGCACCGGCCCUUCGUGGUCCCUCUGCACGACGCAGCAGAGCUUGGUGCAGCUGGUGAGCAUCUCCCCGUCCUGCUGCUGUAGGAUGCUCAACAUCUGCUCUCUCUCUGCCUCCUCCACGUCCCUCCUCUUCCCUCCCUCACACAAACCAGCUUCAUCUCACCCUGGGCCACCACGACGGUGUCCUCUGCUGCCUGCCCUCCCCUCCCAAAGCCUCCUCUUGCACUCCCCAUCCUCUGUGCACGUGCCAUAAGUGUUGCACUAAAGCUCGGAGCCUCUCUGAGUUCUCACCAAUGCCUUUGCUUGCAGCAGCCCCGGGGACUGUGGGGCUCUGGGAAUGGGGACUGGUCCCCACGUCCUGUCCCCACCGCUCCUGUCCCUGUUGCUCGUGCCGGCAGGCUGAGCACCCGCAGCUCUGUGCGCCCUGGGAUGGGCACGAGGGGGAAUCCACAGCACGGGCACUUUGUCUCCAUGUUGGAAAGCUCAAGGAGGUGAUGCCAUGGCUGAUGCUCAGCAGCAGGGGUAGCAAGGUCCUCUGGCCUGGUGGGCACCAUGCAGAUUUGUGGUGGAGGUACUUGAAAGACUUUCUGAAGACCUGCUGUGCUUUGGGAGUCUGAAGGGAGCUGAGGGGUGCUGCAGCCAACAGGUCUCACCCGACCCAGCUCUGCUUUUUCUGCCCCAUUUUUUCUUCCUGGGGGCAUCUCCCCCAGGCCACGAGCAGAGGGAGCCGUCGCACAGUGGCACCAACAAAAAAAAUAGCUGCCCUCUACUUAUCAUAAGCGAGCCCAGAAGAGCAGCUCCCUCCCUUCCAUUCAGCGCAGCAGCGGCUGUUUGUGCAGCCGCGUUAUUUGCAUCAUGCCUUCUGAUUUCUGAAAGUCUUAAUUAUUUAAAAAAAAAAAAAAGCAAAUCUUAUUUAUUUAUUUAUCAUUGUUUUUUAUUUUUUUUGACUCCAGCUUCGUGCGUGGGGUUUUUAUUUUUCCUCUGGUUUAAAAAUAUCCAGCCCAUCAGCACGGAGGGGAUGUGGGAGCCGCUCUCCACAAUGCCCCCUAAUAGGACAUCCGACGGCGCGAGGAGCUUCCUCCGCCCGCUCCAUCGAGCGGCACGAGCCAGAGGGGAGGCAGGGAUUUAUUUGGGGAUGCUCUGGGUGGGAGCCAAGAUGGUUUCGGUGGUGUUUUAAGCAACAACUCGAUGUGUAGGGAACCGUCCCCAAACCCAGGGGACGUCCCCAAACUCAGCGCCCUUCUUGGGUGGCUGAAUUAGAGCUGGAUCGGGUGCCUGUGGCUUGGAGCUGCUCAGCCUUUGGGUUUGGCAGGUGCUGCUGCAGGCUCGGUGCAAACAGCUCAGUCUCGACAUCUGGGGACAGUGGGACACGUGUCCCCACCCCACCGGGCACCUCCCGUCCCCCGGGGCCCACCAGCCCCCCAAGCAGUGCCAGGCUGUGGGGUGGCGCAGGGUGGGAUCCGACGGGGCAGCGGGCACACUUUUCCUCCCUUCCCUUUAAUUUAUUUUAAUUUAACUUGGUUUGCAAAGAAGUGAUUUCUCGGGAAGCUUUGUCAGCCUUCUUGAUUUCCGUUCCCUGUAAAGUACGCUGUUACAUUUCCUUGUACAUAAGGUAUAUAUAAAUAUAUAUACAUAUCUCUAUAUGUAUGUAUAUAGAUAUAUACAUAUCUAACGAGCUCUGAAUCCUGUACAGUUUCAAACUGAACUCGAUGGCUGCUUUGUUUUCUCCGUGUUAGUUCUGACCGUUGCAGAAUGAGCUGGGUUUAAUUUCCCGUUUCUCCCUCUUUCUGUUUUCUUUUUAUAAAUAUAUACAUAAAUAUAUAUAUAUAUAUUUUGUUGUUGUCGUUGCAAGACUCUCGUCACUGGAAAAGAACAAUUGUUUCUGGUGCAAAAAAAUAAAAAAGAAAACACACACACACAAAAAAAAAAAGCUGAGAAAGGCACGAUGGAUCUCCCCGAUGUAAAUUUGUACAGUAACAUUUAUAACGUUUUCUACACUUUAAGAAAGUAUUUAUAAUUUCCGCUGUCUGACUGAGUGCGAAUCUCCGUGACCUGCAGAACUGGUUAGCCCUUCGUUCCCGUGGUUUGUCGUGCAGUGUUUGGUGAGGUGACAGUGUAUGAAUUAUUUAUGCCAAUAAAAAAAAACACUUGGAAAACCAGCGCGCCCCGUGUGCCCACCUUUGGUGCUCGGGGGGGGACACAUCGCAUCUAACACCCCCCCACACAGACCCUCCUCAUCCUCACCAACAUCCCGCUGACCUGGGGCUUGUAAUUAGGGCCGAUAAUUCACGGUGAGGGGAGCACGGGGAGAUGGGUGAAGGGUAGAGCAAGCAGGAGAAUAAAUCUCAGCCGGGCUGUGCCGGGUGCUGCCGGGGGUGCUCGUCCCCAGCCGGGGCCCCCCCGGGAUGGCUGAGCCCCGUGAUGGAGCGCUGGGGGCGCCGUGCAUCUGCUGCUCUGUUUGCUCGCUUCUCCCACGCUGUUUUACCGGGGGGCCACCAUCCAUCUGCCAAAACGCCCGUCGGAAAGCAGCGGCGGGGGCCCUUCUGGUAGGUGACAGGGAAGAAAAUCGCGGCGGGUUCAUGAUUUCCACCCCCCCCUCCCCUUCCUUCCCCGGCCCCUUCCCGCAUCGCCAUCGCCCGGGUGCUUGAAAGGUAAAAUAAUGAUGGCUCGCCAUUAAUAAACCAUGAACCCGCAACACGUUCCCCUGUCGAGGGCUUUUCAUCUUUCAAAGCCUGCAGGAGGCGGUAAGCAAUUAGGGCAGGCGCAUCCUGGGGGGGCAGCGGGGCCGGCUGGGGGGGAUUUUUGUAGGAUGGAUGGGGAAAGUGAGACUGGGAGGGACGGGAGAGGUGUUGGGGACUGGGGGCAAAGAGCCACCACAUGAAACCUUCGUGUGCUCAAGGCUUUGUCCCCCCAGAAGCUGAUGGGGAUGCUGGGUUCACCACAGCAUCACCGUACCUGUGCCAUAACCCUGUGGGUUCCCCCAUGUGAACUGGGGGGGUCCCACUGGUCUGGAUUGUAACUGGUUGACACUGGUGGGGCACUGGGCAGCACCACGGGGGCAGAGCCACUGAUUGACC